GGAAAAUGUUUCGUGUCAAAACAUGAGGCACCCCAUCACAACGUAAUCUCGAUCCAACAGACUUUUUCAGCACGACGUCACACGCACUUGCUGAUGGCAAAAGAGGAAUGCUUGUAAUUCCUGGAAGCGGAAAGUCUCAGUCGAGUAGAAGAUUUUAAAUGAGGGCGACAGGUGCGAACGCCGUAGUGUUGGCAGGAGGCGCUGUCCCCGCAGACGGCGCAGCAGCCCUCGUUGCCUCGCAGGCUUUUUAGUUUCAGCGGCAAAGUCCCUUCCG